GAUGAAGAACGCAGCGAAAUGCGAUAACUAAUGUGAGUUGCAGAAUUCCGUGAAUCAUCGAGUCUUUGAACGCACAUUGCGCCCCCUGGUAUUCCGGGGGGCAUGCCUGUCCGAGCGUCAUUGCUGCCCAUCAAGCACGGCUUGUGUGUUGGGUCCUCGUCCCCCCCGGGGGACGUGCCCGAAAGGCAGCGGCGGCACCGCGUCCGGUCCUCGAGCGUAUGGGGCUUUGUCACCCGCUCUGCAGGCCCGGCCGGCGCUGGCCGACGCGAAAGCAACCAUUUUUUCUCCAGGUUGACCUCGGAUCAGGUAGGGAUACCCGCUGAACUUAAGCAUAUCAAUAAGCGGAGGA
rnacentral:misc_RNA from 1 species